CAACUUGGAACAAUAUUUAAAUCAUUCAUCCUGCCAAAUCAACGAGGCUGAUCUGAGGACAUUAGCAAGUCUGGCCGUCUUGCUGUCUGUCCCCAGAUCAACUCCACCAUUUCCUGACAUUCAACCAUCAGCUGGAGAGAACCACCAGACAAGGACAACAUCUGUUCUUUGGCUAAGAGAAGUCGUGUGGCAUCGGAGCUGGAGAAAACUACUUUUAAAGUGCUCAUGUGAUUAGGUCAGGCCACCGGCACUACCUCCCUACUUCAAGUUUAACUGGGAGAGCUGAACUUGAAAUGGAAACUAAACUGUCUAAAAGAUUCCCCCUUGGGAAAAAAAAAUCUGAUUAAAAACUCCAGCUAGGAGAUUAGAAAGCUUUGGUUGGUGAACUGGCACCAGGAAGUGCCUUCAUUUUCGAGACCUGGUAGAGUUCGAUGAAAACGUUUUUUAACAGACACAGACUGUCCAGUCCUGACCAGGACACUGAAGACUCUGUUUGAAUCAGGUUUACAGGUUUCUUCCUAGCCACUCUCAGAGACAGGAAUGCUUCUGAUUUUACAGAUUGGUAAUACUUUUUUCCCUUGAAUGUUUGAUAGAAUGUACUCUCCUUCUGCGAGCCCAUCAUAAUCUUCCCAAGGAAGAUGAGAUUGCUAAUAAUAAUAGCCACUAUUUCAUGAAGUCCUCCAAAGUGUCAUCUUACUAUAAAAUAUUACAUAUGUUAACUGA